rnacentral:lncRNA from 1 species
CUAAGAAAUUAUUUAUUCAGGAAAAACAGCUUACAUUUGAUAAGAACAGGGAGUUUUUGGUGUUUCAACCUGUCCUAGUCCCAUUUCCCAUCCUCCAGUUCCUCUGUAGUUUGGAAAAUAACAGGGUGCGGUCAAGUCCAAUAGGCGCUUGAGGAGCCGAUGGGACUGGGCUCUUUCAGAGGUUCAUUUCCAGAGAGUUGCCAUCCUUUGACCUCUCAGUGGUCCCCAGGAAGACCCCAUGAGCAGUGCUGUCUGGAGUUGGUCUAAAGGGGAGUAGCCCCACUGAGACAGAUCCUUUACUUAGGGGACAUUUGUUGAAAGCGAUGACUAGUAGUUGUUGGUGGCUGUGGCUGUAUACAGGAGAGGAUAACAGUUGAUGCUAAUCAUAAUCAAAGAGCUUAUAAGGAAAAGCUGGAUACGAGAUGUGUGUACACAGGGACUCUGAAGAGCUCUGAUGUAUUCCUCGGGAUCUAGACGCUCACACACAUCCAUAGAGCUGGACAGAUUCCCAGUAAACAAGCCCACAGCAGCCACGGAGAGUGUUGGUUCCAGGUCCGUGGGAUAAAGGAUUGGCCCAAAGUGAGGUCCCGCCCUGUGUCUUUAGGAUGUGAUGUUUUAUUUCUUGGAAUGUCAGACCUGGAAGGAGUUUCUUUGAUUGGCUGGAGGGCUUUGGGCCACUGAACAGUGUAACAGUGUAAUUUGGGAUGGAGGCUGGCCCUACUAGAUUAUUUUAGGGUGAGAGCUAGCCAUGCCCCAAAGACCAACACUAUAAUUUAGAGUGGGGACUUUGGUUCACAUGGCAUCAGGUGAGCUCCAAGUGGUUGAAGACUGAGGUUGACCAUGUGGAUAAUUAGUCAUGCCUACAUGUUUGUUAUGCUUCAGAUACAAGUUGUCUCCCAAAAGCUCAUGUGUGAGAUGAUGCGAGAAAUUUCAGAGGUCAACUCAUUGGGUGAUGAGAGUUUCGACCCAAUCAGUGCAUUAAUCCUAUGAUAGGGUAGUAAUUGUGGGAACGUAGGGUGUGGCUGUAGGAGGUGAGUUAUUGGGGAUGUGACUUUGAGUUAAAAUUAUUCUUGUCAGGUCUUUGGUCACAGAGGUGAAAAAGUGACUAAAACAAUGAUGGAGGCCAAAUAAUACCUUUGACCAUGAAGACUCAAGACUGGCAAACUGCACACUCACUGUAUCACACACCGGUGCAGGAAGGUAAUGCUCUCCCAUCUGAUUCCAUGACGAGAGAAUGACUGGAAACUCUGGUACUUCCCUGGGCUCUUCCUGAUGUGUGUUUCCUGGGGUCACUUUUAAUCUGUGUCCUUUCCGAGGUUAUAAUAAACUAUAACCUUGACUGUAGUAGCUUUCCGUGACUUCUGUGAGCUCUACCCAGGAGUUCUCACGUGCCUCGCAAAUCAUACACCUUGGAUUGAUCCAGCUGUCUUCCAUCUCUCUUUUGUAUAUUUUGAAAAAAAAUAUAAUUAUCCUUGUAAUUAUUAUGAGCGGUGCUGGAGGCCAAGCCCAG